GACGAACGCUGGCGGCGUGCUUAACACAUGCAAGUCGAACGGAAAGGCCCUGCUUUUGUGGGGUGCUCGAGUGGCGAACGGGUGAGUAACACGUGAGUAACCUGCCCUUGACUUUGGGAUAACUUCAGGAAACUGGGGCUAAUACCGGAUAGGAGCUCCUGCUGCAUGGUGGGGGUUGGAAAGUUUCGGCGGUUGGGGAUGGACUCGCGGCUUAUCAGCUUGUUGGUGGGGUAGUGGCUUACCAAGGCUUUGACGGGUAGCCGGCCUGAGAAGGUGACCGGCCACAUUGGGACUGAGAUACGGCCCAGACUCCUACGGGAGGCAGCAGUGGGGAAUAUUGCACAAUGGGCGGAAGCCUGAUGCAGCAACGCCGCGUGCGGGAUGACGGCCUUCGGGUUGUAAACCGCUUUCGCCUGUGACGAAGCGUGAGUGACGGUAAUGGGGAAAGAAGCACCGGCUAACUACGU
rnacentral:rRNA from 1 species